GACCUCAAGGGGCUUACACUCUGGGAAGAUAGGUAACAUUGAAUAAAUGGCAAGAAACCAAUAUGUGAUUACAGAUCAUUGAUAAGUGCUGCAAAGGAAAACAAGAGGACUCUAUGAAGGAGAAUUACCAGUCUCUACCUCUAUGUCCAUCAUUCAAUAAAUAUUUAGUCAAUCCUAAUGUGUGCCAGGCAGCAUUCUUGCUGGGAACACAGCAUUAAACAAAACAGAACAAAACAGACUAAGUUCCUCUUCUCAUGAAGCAGGGGCACAGAUCAUGGAAACCACUAUCAGAACUUGGGAUUUCAUUUAUGUCCAAUGUGAGUCAGGCAUCUCUCCUGGUGGCUGUCUUCCAUGUGGUGACUUAUGUAUCCAGGAUCCUUCUACUGUGUUUCUCCUCCAUUGCGAAGUCCUUCACUUCCAGCACCUGAGACAUUUUUUGGGUAUAUCUACAAGUGGCAUAUAUCACUUCUGCCCACAUUCACCUGGGUAGAACUCAAUCACAUUGUUUCACCUAACUGCAAGUGAGGCUGUGGAAUAUAGUCUCCCUAUGUGCCCAAGCAGAAGAAACAGGAUUGUGUGACUCUACAAUGUGUGAUUGCUCCUGGUGAAUCAAAAGGAUAAAGCUGCUGAUUCUGCAAUUUGAUAACCCAACCAUGCUGACCUCAAAGUGUAGUCAAUCCAUGAAGUUCCUCCCACCACAGCUCAUCCUGAACACUGCCCACCUGAGUCAUCAAGAAAGAUUUCACCUGAUUCUUGGCCACAAAGUUUCAAGGGAACCAGAGCUAAUGAAGACAGCAUGGAAGGGCACCGCCGAGACCUACCUGUGGGAGUCCACCUCACCCUCAAGAACAGCUACCAUUUUAACACAGAUGGAUAAACCCCAUGAAAGUGAACUUCCUAAAUGCAAAUUCUGAUCUUGAAGCCCCAGCUGGCACAUCUACUGGAGACCCUCCCAAGCAACAAGAUGUAGAUGCUUUAGAGAUAACAAACUAUACAAGUUGUCUUCCAUUCUUUCUCCUUCCUCUAUUUUCAACACGGAUAAAAUACAUAUAUAUUUAUCUUGCUGAGCUCAGUAGGAUUAUUUAGCUUUAUUUCCAUGGCUGCCUUUUCUUAAUGUAAUAGAAUUUCCAAUCGAGCUUAUUACUUCCUUCCGUCACAAGCCUGAGGUCCUUUCACACCCAUCCUGUCCUUGGCAAAGAUCUUUGGAAAGUAGCCUGGGACAUACCUAGUGGUAAGCCACCUGCUCUGGGUUGAGGGUGGAUCUAUUCUAGUCAGAGGCUUUGUGAUCUGGACAAAGGAAUUGAGUAUGUGGCUGUCAAACUGUCAGGCAAUACUAAAUUUGGCUGGCCAGCUGAAUUCUAGCAGAAAAUCAUGCAAAAUAAGGUUUAGCAAUUGGGGAAAAAUGGCCCACAGGAAAAACAAAGGGAUGAAAUUCCGUAGGACUACACGGCCAUAGAAUUCUAACUUGAGGGCUGCAACCAGCUAUGUGACCUUGUAGUACAAGGACCAGUCUUCAGAUACAAAAUAGAGUUUGGAGUUAAAGGGAUCUUUGAGAAGAAGCCAUUAUCCACCCCCUCCUCCCAAUUUUAUAUGCCCUAAGAAAAAGGUUUCUUUCAACUUAGAAAGGUAUGAUUCUUGAAGUGCACUUCCUCCGAGUUUUCCUGAGCCUCUCAAUCAAAAUGACUUGCACCUGCCCAUCCAUUCCCAUUGGCUUAUGCUCCUACCCUGCAGUAUUGGCUUCAUUAUGCCUCACCUUGUACACCUGUCUGAUUCCUCUCCUAGAUUAUCAGCACCUUGACAAUGGGCUCGUAUCUUGUGUAUCCCUGAAUUUCCAGGGACAAUGAUAGUGCCUGCCACAUAAUUGAUGGUCAAUAAAUUUUGGUUAAAUAGUAACAAGAAACUCCCAUUUAAAAAAUGUGUUAUCGUUAUCAUUCUCAAUCUGGAU
rnacentral:lncRNA from 1 species